CACAAGCGGUGGAGCAUGUGGUUUAAUUCGACGCAACGCGAAGAACCUUACCAGGGCUUGACAUCCCCUGACCGCGUAUGAAAGUACGUUUUCACCUCGGGUGACAGGGAGACAGGUGGUGCAUGGUUGUCGUCAGCUCGUGUCGUGAGAUGUUGGGUUAAGUCCCGCAACGAGCGCAACCCCUACGUUUAGUUGCUAACGCGUGAAGGCGAGCACUCUAGACGAACUGCCGUUGACAAAACGGAGGAAGGUGGGAUGACGUCAAAUCAUCAUGCCCCUUAUGUUCUGGGCUACACACGUGCUACAAUGGCCGGUACAGACGGACGCAAAGCCGCGAGGUGGAGCAAAUCCUAAAAAGCCGGUCUCAGUUCGGAUUGCAGGCUGCAAUUCGCCUGCAUGAAGUCGGAAUCGCUAGUAAUCGCAGGUCAGCAUACUGCGGUGAAUACGUUCCCGGGCCUU
rnacentral:rRNA from 1 species